GCAGGGGUAGCCAAGUUGGCCAACGGCGCAAGGCUUAGGACCUUGUCCUUAGUGGUUCCUCGGUUCGAAUCCGAGCCCCUGCACCA
rnacentral:tRNA from 1 species